rnacentral:rRNA from 1 species
GAUGAACGCUGGCGGCGUGCCUAAUACAUGCAAGUCGAGCGAACAGACGAGGAGCUUGCUCCUCUGACGUUAGCGGCGGACGGGUGAGUAACACGUGGAUAACCUACCUAUAAGACUGGGAUAACUUCGGGAAACCGGAGCUAAUACCGGAUAAUAUAUUGAACCGCAUGGUUCAAUAGUGAAAGACGGUUUUGCUGUCACUUAUAGAUGGAUCCGCGCCGCAUUAGCUAGUUGGUAGGGUAACGGCUUACCAAGGCGACGAUGCGUAGCCGACCUGAGAGGGUGAUCGGCCACACUGGAACUGAGACACGGUCCAGACUCCUACGGGAGGCAGCAGUGGGGAAUCUUCCGCAAUGGGCGAAAGCCUGACGGAGCAACGCCGCGUGAGUGAUGAAGGUCUUCGGAUCGUAAAACUCUGUUAUUAGGGAAGAACAAAUGUGUAAGUAACUAUGCACGUCUUGACGGUACCUAAUCAGAAAGCCACGGCUAACUACGUG